CGGAGAACUCAAGCGUUACCCGGAAUCACUGGGCGUAAAGCGUUGCGUAGGCGGUUUGUUAAGUCGGAUCUUAAAUGCCAAGGCUCAACCUUGGAAGUGGGUUCGAAACUAACAAACUAGAGGAUGGUAGAGGUCAGUGGAAUUGCUGGUGUAGGAGUGAAAUCCGUAGAUAUCAGCAGGAACACCAAUGGCGAAGGCAGCUGACUGGGCCACUCCUGACGCUGAUGCACGAAAGCGUAGGUAGCGAACGGGAUUAGAUACCCCGGUAGUCUACGCCGUAAACGAUGGAUACUGUCUGUCGGGAGUAUCGACCCUCUCGGUAGAGAAGCUAAACGCGUUAAGUAUCCCGCCUGGGGAGUACGGCCGCAAGGCUA
rnacentral:rRNA from 1 species